CCUACGGGAGGCAGCAGUGGGGAAUAUUGCUCAAUGGGGGAAACCCUGCAGCAGCAACGCCGCGUGGGUGAUGAAGUUUUUCGGUUUGUAAACCCCUUUUUUUAGAGAAGAUAAUGACGGUACCUAACUAAUAAGCACCGGCUAACUCCGUGCCAGCAGCCGCGGUAAUACGGAGGGGGCAAGCGUUACUCGGAUUCACUGGGUGUAAAGAGCGCGUAGACGGGAUAGCAAGUCAGAUGUGAAAGCCUAUGGCUUAACCCUAGAACUGCAUUUGAAACUGUUAGUCUAGAGUACGGGAGAGGUAGGCGGAAUUCUUGGUGUAGAGGUGAAAUGCGUAGAGAUCAAGAGGAACACUAAUGGCGAAGGCGGCCUGCUAGACAGUAACUGACGCUGAGGCGCGAAAGCGUGGGGAGCAAACAGGAGUAGAUACCCGAGUAGUC
rnacentral:rRNA from 1 species